rnacentral:rRNA from 1 species
UACAUGGGGUGCAAACGUUGCUCGGAAUUAUUGGGCGUAAAGCGCGCGUAGGCGGUUACUUAAGUCGGAUGUGAAAGCCCUCGGCUUAACUGAGGAAGUGCAUCCAAAACUGAGUAGCUAGAGUACGAAAGAGGGUCGCGGAAUUCCCGGUGUAGAGGUGAAAUUCGUAGAUAUCGGGAGGAACACCGGUGGCGAAGGCGGCGACCUGGGUCGAGACUGACGCUGAGGCGCGAAAGCGUGGGGAGCAAACAGG